UACGGGGGGGGCGAGCGUUGUUCGGAUUUACUGGGCGUAAAGGGCGCGUAGGCGGCGUGUUAAGUCAGCUGUGAGAUCUCCAAGCUUAACUUGGAACGGUCAGCUGAUACUGAUGUGCUAGAGUGCAGAAGGGGCAACCGGAAUUCUUGGUGUAGCGGUGAAAUGCGUAGAUAUCAAGAGGAACACCUGAGGUGAAGACGGGUUGCUGGGCUGACACUGACGCUGAGGCGCGAAAGCUAGGGUAGCAAACGGG
rnacentral:rRNA from 1 species